UUAUGGCUCAGGACGAACGCUGGCGGCGUGCCUAACACAUGCAAGUCGAGCGGGGACAUUGCGACGGAGACGAAGUACUCGUACGGAGUCAAAGAUGUAAUGUUCUAGCGGCGGACGGGUGAGUAACGCGUGAGCAACCUGUCCCUUACAGGGGGAUAACACAGCGAAAGUUGUACUAAUACCGCAUAAGACCACAGGAUGACAUCGUCCAGGGGUCAAAGGAGCAAUCCGGUAAGGGGUGGGCUCGCGUCCGAUUAGAUAGUUGGUGAGGUAACGGCCCACCAAGUCGACGAUCGGUAGCCGACCUGAGAGGGUGAUCGGCCACAUUGGGACUGAGACACGGCCCAAACUCCUACGGGAGGCAGCAGUGGGGAAUAUUGGGCAAUGGGGGAAACCCUGACCCAGCAACGCCGCGUGAGGGAAGAAGGUUUUCGGAUCGUAAACCUCUGUCCCAGGUGAAGAGGAAGAGACGGUAGCCUGGGAGGAAGCCCCGGCUAACUACGUGCCAGCAGCAGC
rnacentral:rRNA from 1 species